GGAGGGGGCAAGCGUUGUUCGGAAUUACUGGGCGUAAAGGGCGCGUAGGCGGGAAGAUCAAGUCAGGGGUGAAAGGCCUGGGCUCAACCCGGGAACUGCCUUUGAAACUGGUUUUCUAGAGUACGGGAGAGGAUGGCGGAAUUCCCAGUGUAGAGGUGAAAUUCGUAGAUAUUGGGAAGAACACCGGUGGCGAAGGCGGCCAUCUGGCCCGGUACUGACGCUAAGGCGCGAAAGCGUGGGGAGCAAACAGGAUUAGAUACCCUGGUAGUCCACGCCGUAAACGAUGUGUGCUAGCCGUUGGGGCCUCAGGUCUCAGUGGCGCAGCUAACGCGUUAAGCACACCGCCUGGGGAGUACGGCCGCAAGGUUA
rnacentral:rRNA from 1 species